rnacentral:rRNA from 1 species
AGUGGCAAACGGGUGAGUAACACGUAAACAACCUGCCUUCAGGAUGGGGACAACAGACGGAAACGACUGCUAAUACCGAAUACCUGAAGAGGGGUUUGCGUCUGAUUAGGUAGUUGGUGAGGUAACGGCCCACCAAGCCGACGAUCAGUAGCCGGUCUGAGAGGAUGAACGGCCACACUGGAACUGAGACACGGUCCAGACUCCUACGGGAGGCAGCAGUGGGGAAUCUUCCGCAAUGGGCGAAAGCCUGACGGAGCAACGCCGCGUGAGUGAUGACGGCCUUCGGGUUGUAAAGCUCUGUGAUCGGGGACGCGGUACCCGAAUAGCAAGCCACGGCUAACUACGUGCCAGCAGCCGCGGUAAUACGUAGGUGGCAAGCGUUGUCCGGAAUUAUUGGGCGUAAAGCGCGCGCAGGCGGUUCUUAAGUCCAUCUUAAAAGUGCGGGGCUUAACCCCGUGAUGGGAUGGAAACUGAGAGCUGGAGUAUC